GACACGCAGGUGGUGUCUAAUCCAAGGCACUGGGCAGGGUGUGGCCGGCCAGGCUUCCUUCCCCGGAAACGGAGCUGCAGGCGGGUCUCCGAGGAUCUCGAGCGGGCAAAGGCACAUGGGUUCGGCUCGCCCAGGAGUCGCAACCCGUUUGGGGUUCCAGGCAGAUGGGCGCAGCAUCCGACAUGGGAGGGGGACCCACGCCCUCGCCUGACUGCAGGGUAGGGGUCUCGGCACACAAAGCGGACCCCGGGCGUGGAAGGAUGGAACUAGAGUGGUUCCGGAGAGCAGAACGAAAGCGCAUCGGGAUUACACCGACUUCGGGUCGUGGCAGCGGAAACCAGUGGAGACAGGGCGCCACUCACUAGCUCUAAAGGUCUAGGGUGUGACACCACUGGAAGUUCCAUAAAUGGCAUGGCAGCUCAAGAGGAUGAAGCAGUGAUGCCUCAAAGGCCCAGUGUCUGGCCCACAUCUACACAGGGAGUGGAAGAGGGUAGCAGGACCUACUCCUCAGCAGGCCAUAGGCAGCAAGUGGCCAGUGAGCUCCCACUCAGUCAAGCCUGCCCCCAGGGACACCAUCUGAGCCAGCUGAAUUCCGGGCACUGCUUCACCUUGGAAAGGAGGCCACAGCUCUCUAGAGCAGCCCGGUAAUUGACGUCACAGCAGUGCCGGGAGCGGCCCCGUUAAUAUUUAAUGAAGACUCCGCUGCGGCAGAGCUGCAGGCUAGGAGGGCUGCGGGGCCAUGCUGAGUCCCCACAGGGUCGUGAGGAGGGCACAGAAGGUAAAGUUUCCUAAACCGGAAAGCCCCCCCAUCAGAUGAGCAUCACAGCAACGAGUUUUAGUCCCCCGGCUUAACUCAGAAAGAGCCAGGGUAUCACGUGCCUGCCAUGGGACAAGGAGACUGCUGACCAAGCCCCGGCGAUAAAUGUAGGGGGAUUAGGGGCUCCCGGGGACGUUUCCUGGAGAUGGUGGGAGGACAGAGCCCUGGCGCCGACCGGUCCCAGACUCCACCCCAGGUUUGCCUUGCACAGCUGGGCAGCAGCUGCACCGCUGAGCCUCAGUUCUCUGAUCUGUGCAAUGGGAAUCAUGAUACCCUCCCCGAGAGGCUUUUGUGAGAAUUAACGGAGAUGAAUGCUGUAGAUCGGGAAGUUGCUGGUGGCUCAGUCGGUAAAGAAUCCGACAGCAAUGCAGGAGACACGGGUUUGAUCCUUGGGUCGGAACGAUCCUCUGGAGAAGGAAAUGGCAACCCACUCCUGUAUUCUUGCCUAGAAAAUCCCAUGGACAGAGGAGCCUGGAGGGCUUACAGUCCAGAAGGUCACUAACAGUCAGACAUGACCAAGAGUCUAAACCACCAGCCGUGAUAUAGAGGACCCAGCCCAGCACACAGCAGGACCUCAGCAGACAGGGUGCCUUCUCCCAAACCAGUUGUCGGGGUGUUUCAUGCAUUCAUCGGCUGGAGUGAUGUGGGAAGGGAAGAAAGAGCAAGGGGGCGAAGGAGGGGAACUUGGAGCCAGCUGUCUCGGGUUUGGACUUGUCACUGUGGUGGGGCAACGUCCCAGAGAGAUGUCAGACGGAGGAUGGACGGAGUGCCCAGGGUGGCAGGAACAGAAGGGCCCUUGUGAACUGUCUCUUGUGAUUAUCUAUCUGACCCCUUCACUCGACAGAAGAGGAUGCUGAGGGCCCCGGAGGGAGCAGACCAGCCCCGGAGGCUUACACUGCAGAGCCGGGGUCUGACCUCGUCUUUAGUCACCCACCUGAGACAGCAUCAGCUGAGGGAUUUACCCAGGGCCACCCACAUGGAGGCAGGUGACGCAACGAGAGGCCCUGUUUCCGUCCUCUGCGUCUCUGGCCUGGACAAAGCAGGGUCUCAUCAUCCCGCCCCCUUCCCGGUCUCCCGUGAGUGUGUGUUCCCACAAAUCCUGGAAGUUUCACAAAAUGUAAAUCCAACCGUGUCAUCCCCUGCGUAAAAUCCCUCUGUGGGCCCAAACUCAGGGUUGCCAGAGAGAGUGCAGGAGGCCCCAUUAAAACUGAAUUUCAAAUCAACAAGUAAUGGUUUUUAGUAUAAGAAUGUUCCACAUAUUGCAUGCCUAUAAUUAUACUUAAAAAUGUAUUUGUUGUUUAUCUGAAAUUCAAAGUUAACAGGACAGCCUGUAUUUUUUCUUUUUUUUGCUAAACCUAACAAUCCUAUGCAGACUACCUUCAGGAAAAUGCUGGAGUCUUUUAACUGGCCUCCAAGGCCCACUUUGACCCCAUUCGUGCUUAGUCACUCAGUUGUGACUCUUUGAGACCCCAUGGACUGUCACCCACCAAGAGCCUCUGUCCAUGGGAUUUUCCAGGUCAGAAUACUGGCCAUUUCCUUCUCCAGGGGAUCUC